rnacentral:rRNA from 1 species
AUUGAACGCUGGCGGCAGGCCUAACACAUGCAAGUCGAGCGGAGCGGCGGACGGGUGAGUAAUGCCUAGGAAUCUGCCUGGUAGUGGGGGAGAACGUCCGGAAACGGGCGCUAAUACCGCAUACUAACAGAUGAGCCUAGGUCGGAGUAGCUAUUUGGAGGGGUAAAGGCCUACCAAGGCGACGAUCCGUAACUGGGCUGAGAGGAUGAUCAGUCACACUGAGAAUGGGCCACGGUCCCUACUCCUACGGUAGGCAGCAGUGGGGAAUAUUGGACAAUGUGCGAAAGCCUUAUUCAGCCAUGCCGCGUGUGUGAAGAAGGUCUUCGGAUUGUAAAGCACUUUCAGUUGGGAGGCGUUACCAACAGAAUAAGCACCGGCUAACUUCGUGCCAGCAGCCGCGGUAAUAC